GUUAACGCGAGAUUCCUCCGACUGUCAACAAAGAAAGCCCCGUGUAGCAUUCAAGCUAGCUGCUCCAUCCUACAGUAUACAAGCAAAGACUCGUAGAAAGACUGGGACUGUAACGCGCGGCGGUGCUUCGGCGUGGAGACAGAGAGAAGAAGCCUCCACGCUUCCCUCAACGUGACUUUCGCCGAUGUCCACGUUUUCAUGUCGGCUCGUCGUUGUCUGCGGCUCUGUGUCUGCACCGAGAUGAAUGGCAUCAUGUCGGGAUGACAGGAAGAUGGCAAACGGGGUUGGAAAACACAAGCUGCACGUCAUCGGACCCACGGAGCCAUGGUCAGUGAGGGAGAAGCUGUGUUUGGCCACAUCUGUCAUGAAGAGCGGACACCAGAACUGGGUAUCUGUCAGUCGAGCCAUCAAACCAUUUGCAGAACCUGGGCGGCCACCUGACUGGUUCUCUCAGAAGCACUGCGCCUCAAAGUAUUCUGAGCUCCUGGAAGCAACAGACGCCCCAAAGAGGAAGCGGGGUGAGAAAGGUGAAGUGGUGGAGACGGUGGAAGACGUGAUCGUGCGCAGGCUGACGACCGACCGGAUCGAUGAACUCAAAAAGCGAAUCAAAGAAACUCAGGACAAGCACAGGAAGCUGAAGCGAGAGGCUGAGCUGAUCAAAGCAGGACAUCUAGAUUCCAAACUAGAAGAGCUAUGGGAGGGAAUACGGCAGAAGAAGAAAGCGGAGGAGGAAGAAGCCGAGUGGAAAAGAAAAAACACAGAUGCUGCUUUUCAGGCCAGAAAGGUGGCAAAGGGCACAACCAAGCGAGUGCCCGACGUGUAUGUGCCCGACGUGUAUUCGCCCUCAGGCUGCGGCUCCCCGAACCAGGAGUUCUCUCCAGGUGCCCCCCUCGAGAGCUUGACCCUGGAUCUUGGAUCUCUUAAGAAUGCUUCGGGAUCGUCCAGGUUCAUGACAUUCUCGGAGUCUUCUGGACUUGCUAUUGAAGACAUCAACCAGGCGUCACUCCUGGACGAACUCGCCCAAAAGAAGCUCCUGUGCCAGAAGGCCACACCACCCCCGUCUCCACUCUUGUCAGAGUUACUGAAGAAAGGCAACAUCUUGGCCUCUAAUUCCAGACUGAUCGGUGAUGGUGACGUGUCCUCUGGUAACAUGAUCGCAGCACAUGACUUGCAGCUGGCUCUGCCGAGUCAACCUCUCUCUCAGGCAACAGGUGCCCCCAUGUUGUCCCGUCUUUUGGAGGCGGGUCCCACGCAGUUAACUGCUCCAUUAAGUUUCAUGGUCGGCACCAACUCAGUCUCGAGCUGUCCUCUCUCGGCUGGCUCGCUUCUUCCUGUUGACUCCACUGCCUCAGCGAGUACAGAGGAUAAAGUGUCAGGUCUCUGUGAGGAAGACGAGACAGUCUCCUACAUGGGAGAUGAGCUGGACCUCAAGACUGUGGGGGACAUUAUUGCAAUCAUUGAAGACAAGGCCGAUGAGGCUGCUGAUGCUUUGGAUGCCGCUGCAGUCGAGGCUGCCCUGUCCCUGUGCGAAGAGAAUGGCCACGCACUGGUGUCUGGUGCCUGGGAAGCUGGGCCUUUCCAACCACAUGACUCUAAUCACAUAGUGCCCACAGGGGUUCCACAGGCAUCAUCUCUUCUCUGUAGCCUGGGGGGGGAGACAGUCGUGUCAGAAGUCCAAGAUGAGACCUCAGCUUCACUCUCUUCUCUGUGCAACAGUCAAAAUCACUGUCUCGCAGUGUUCCCUAUGGGAUUAAGGAGGGCUCCUAUCAGCUGCUCGUCCUCAUUCAACUCGAGAAGUUUGGAGCACUGCCCCACCGGAGCAGCUCCACGGCCCGAGGCCAUGAGAGAAACUGGAAAGGUGAUGCACCCGAAAAGCCAAAUUUCCUCGGUUGUUGCCAUAAAACGUGAGAGUGAGAAGUGGACACAGCUAAGACCUACUCAAGCACAUGGAGAGUUGGUAUUAGAAGAUAGACCACAGACAGAAAGGCAUCCCAAGGUGAUGAAGGCAGAGAACGGAAUCAGUGUCGGGCGAGUAGAGAAUGCCUCAAGCUCCAGAGUGGACGAUGAGAUCAACGGGCCAGAAGCGUGCGGGGAGGAGGAGGGCGACGGGGUCGAGGGAUUCUUGUCAGAGCCAGACGGCGACAUGGAUCUGGAGCCCGCGGCCAGUGAGAGUGAGGACGGAUACAGCCUCCACACGGCGUCCUCAUCACUGCAGCUCCACACGACCGCAGACUCCAUCCCCAGCAGCCCGGCCUCCUCGCAGUUCUCUGUGUGCAGCGAGGACUUAGAAGCUCUACAGGCUCACAAAAUCUGGAAGAAAGCCAUUAUGCUGGUGUGGCGUGCAGCAGCCAAUCACAGGUACGCGAAUGUCUUCCUGCAGCCAGUAACCGAUGAUAUUGCACCAGGGUAUCACAGUAUCGUGCAAAGGCCCAUGGACCUGGCUACCAUCAAAAAGAACAUAGAGAAUGGUUUGAUCCGGACGACCGCCGAGUUCCAGAGGGACAUCAUGCUGAUGUUUCAGAACGCUGUCAUGUACAACAGCAUGGAUCACGACGUGUACCACAUGGCGCUGGAGAUGCAGCGUGACGUCCUGGAGCAGAUUCAGCAGUUUCUAGCCACCCAGCUCAUCAUGGAGACGUCCGAGGCCGGCAUCAGCGCCAAGAGUCUGAGGGGCCGUGAGAGCACACGCAAACAGGACUCGACUGACAAGGUGCUUCACUAGAAUUUUGACAAAAGCAGAGAGUACAGAAGAAGAGACAAGGGACACUGUCUCCAUGUCUUCUCCUGCCUUCCUCCUUUCUCUUUUUGAUGGAGGCACCAGGGGGCGCCGGUGUGCCAUAGAAGCUGACCUCAAGAUGAAGAAAUGAACACAUAGUAUGAACAUUUUGCACAACGGCGUCCCUGCGUUGUACUGACAGGUGUGAUACCAUAAGACUGAACUUUAUCCUCUUGAUAGUUGCACAGAUUCUCACUCUGCAUAACGUGCAGUGUAACCUUUAUUUGCACUCUUGAUUAUAUGGGUAGACUGAAAUGUGGAGAAGAUCCUUUACUAUGAGACAGCCAUACAGACAUGGAUUACAUACUGUGUAAUCCCAGAUUACAAUGGGACGUUCAGAUAGACUAGGUCAAACCCUGCAUAGACGUAGCUACAGAUCCCUCAGACUUAGCCUGCUCUGAAUUUCAUCAGGUUACAUAAGCGAAGAAGGAAAGUUCCUCCUCGUCACCAAGUGGGCUGAAAAUAAAUCUGCAGGAGGAGGAAUGGUUCAACUCCAGAUCCGUGUUCUUGAUUUCGAUCUCAUGUAAAGCCAGAGGCCAAAGACUCUCAUUAAUCUAAUACUCUGAUCAGUCUGAGUGGUUUCAAAUUUAAACACUUUCAUUGCUGUUACAAACUAUUUUCCUUUUUUAAUUUUUUAAUUUUCAAACUUAAUGUUUGUGAUGAGUUUGUUUUAAUUGUGGUACACUUCCUGCGAAAGUACCUCCAUGCAUUCUCUCGUUGUUUACAGUGUUUUUGAAGACAAAAAAAAAAAAAAAACGGUCUUGUUAAGAAUCUGUUUUGUGAACUUUAAAAUGUUGAAACAAUAAAAACUGUAUUAAGUGCCCCCCGAAUCUACGAUGUUCUGCUUGAAUUGGACAAAAUGUUUCCACAGUGCCAACUCAAAACAAUCCAGACCACUUCAGUAACUUGCAAUUUAACGUUGAUGUUUCAGAGAUGUUUUUUUUGUUCAAAUAUUCCUUUGGGGAAUCUUAGUUUUUAUAUCCAUUUUUUUUAAAUGUGUGUCUGAUUUGCCUAAUUUGUGGGGGAGCAGAUUUUCCUCUGGGUCGGGUUCGGGAUUUGUAUCUGUAUUGCACAAAAUUGUUCAGUUACAUGAGCGUUGCAAGAAAAUAUAAGUUACAUCUGUUGUUUCCUAUACCAUUUCAUUUUUGAACUGUUGUUACUAAGCACUGUGGUUGUACAAAGAGGAAACAGCAUCUUCCACAAAGCUGCCACUCUGGUAUAAUAGUUUUUUCCAUGUUCAGUGUUAUGUAAAUUGGCCUCAUCAAUAAAACUCCAUUCAUAGUUUU